GCAUCGGUGGUUCAGUGGUAGAAUUCUCGCCUGCCACGCGGGAGGCCCGGGUUUGAUUCCCGGCCGAUGCA